rnacentral:rRNA from 1 species
UACGUAGGCAGCAAGCGUUGUUCGGAGUUACUGGGCGUAAAGAGUGUGUAGGCGGUUCUCUAAGUUCGGUGUGAAAUCUCCCGGCUCAACUGGGGGGGUGCGCCGGAAACUGGAGGGCUUGAGUAUGGGAGAGGAAAGCGGAAUUCCUGGUGUAGCGGUGAAAUGCGCAGAUAUCAGGAGGAACACCGGUGGCGAAGGCGGUGGUCUGGGCCGGAACUGACGCUGAGGAGCGAAAGCGUGGGGAGCGAACAGG